CGGACGGGACAGAUUGGAUCGCACCUGUCACAGCCACGCUCUGGAAUAGCGAGGGCCCAGCGUCCCCAGGCCCAGGGUGAGGAGAAUCCCUGCCACACUGUGUCUGGAAUUGGUGGGUUCUUGGUCUCACUGACUUCAAGAAUGAAGCCGCGGACCCUCACGAACCCUCUGUGGAAGCGGUGGUCUGACACAAGCAUUUCUGGAUGACGCUGAACCUGCUUACAACUCCCUGCUGCUGUCAGGCAGAACAUUCUCCAAACCGCAUGAAUUUGGAAGUCUGGACACUUCAGGCAUCAUCAGGUUUAUGGUUUUGUCAUAACCCUGCUGAAAGUCCUUUACCAUCUCCAGGCCUCCAUUUAUUUUCUAUAAAAUAAGGAGUUUGGAAUGGCACUGUGUUGAUAUUCUCCAGUUUUGUGAAACAUCGUACUCAACAAUCGCGAGCAGGCAUUUUACAGACCUUGCUUUCCUAGACCUGCUCAAGUAGAACAUUCAGGUCAGUGCUAAGAGUUAAUAUGCUGCCUCCGUCUGACCUCCACAUUAUGAAAAAAAAUAUAAAGGAAAGAGCAAAAGGUAGAGCAAGUAGGUUUCGGGCUUGGUGGAGUAGCUCUGAGUGCUGCCCUGUCCUUGGCUGUGUGUGCCAGGUGAAGCGUCUGUGAAGGUCCCCAGUGGGGUGUGCAGAGCACAAGGGCUGCUUCUGAAUGCAGGCACGUGAUCUAAGGACACUGUGCAUCACCAGUGUGACCCCAGGAGUAGUUUCAGAGCUUUGAUAAGACCUAGGCCAGGCUCAGUGGCUCACGCCUGUCAUCUCAGCACUUUGGGAGGCCAAGGUGGGUGGAUCAGCUGAGGUCAGGAGUUCAAGACCAGCCUGACCAAUAUGGUGAAAUCCUGUCCCUACUAAAAGUACAAAAAUUAGUUGGGUGUGGGGGCGAGCGCCUGUAAUCCCAGCUACUUGGGAGGCUGAGGCAGGAGAAUCAUUUGAACCCGGGAGGUGGAGGUUGCAGUGAGCCGAGAUCACACCACUACCCUCCAGCCUGGGAGACAGAGCAAGACUCCAUCUCAAAAAAUAAUAAUAAUAAUAAUAAUAAUAAUAAGCCCAGGAACAUCAGAUGUGGGCUGCAUUGACGGCCUGCCUCUCUCUACACCACAGGAAUCUGGGCUGUAAAGGCAGGAUAUAAAUUCAAGUCCACAUGCUAUGGAGAAAUCAGAGGUUUCGAAAGUAUCUCCGUGACUGUUUUUGAAGUCACAGCUAAUAAUUCACCGUCUGACACUCCGGGGCUUGCCUGGAUCUAAAAAUAGUUGUUCCCCCGAGCUGGUCGGGGAACUGGCUGAGAAGGGAGGGAGCUGCGUGGAACACAUUCUGAACCAUCAGGAAACCCAAAGCAAAAUCGAAUCUUGCCACCUAAGAUUUGAUUAUUAAAAGAUGGAUUUGACAGCUGAUUCCCCAUUAAUUACAUUUGUAAAGAUAUUUGAAAGACAGGAAUGAAAUGACAGUGGCCCUGACACAGUCCUUGGGGUUUAAGACGGAGUCUGACAUUGUAUCUGUCUCCGGUUCUGCAGCAGCUUAGCGACAUCAGAGACAAUUGAAGCAAAGGGCCCACUUAUGGCUGACAGCUGACCCUGCAGCCCAGCUGGGAAGCCCCUGAGACGACCCGGGUCCAGCCAUCAGGGAAGGGAACCAGCGUGGCCCCAGGAGGGCUUUAGGCUGAGGCUUCUCCCAGGAUGUGGAGGCUCAGCACUUUGCACAAAUUGGAUUCAUGCCAAAGGAAACUGAAAGCCUGCCUUUCUUUUUUUCCCAGUGCACAUCUCAGAUUAUUUGGCCUUUGUCCGAGGACUGAAAACAGUUCUGUGUCCAAGUAUGUUUUUAAUACCUGAUAUUUAUUUCACAAAAAAGCUGAAAUUGCUUUGUGUGUCCAGGCUUGAAUGUUUAAGGCAUACUUGAUUAAUACAUGUGUGCUGAGCGCUUCCUGGGGCUCCUAGACACUGCCAAAGGUAGCUCAGUGGGGAAAUUCAAGGCAAUUUUCCCCUUAACUUUUGCUACUUCUGACCAUUUUCCACUUAUGUUAUUAUGCUUCUGUAUCCAUCUGUCUGCCUAUGUCUAGCUAUCCAUCAUCUAUCAAUCAAUCACUGUAUCUUGCAAUGGAGGAAUUAACUGUGAUGUUUUCAAGCGUGUCGCUUCUCUCAUAUUCCUAUUAACAUAUUGGAAACGCUCAGCUAAAUAGAAUAAAGUUUUUAGCCUAAA
rnacentral:lncRNA from 1 species